CCUACGGGAGGCUGCAGUGGGGAAUAUUGGACAAUGGGGGCAACCCUGAUCCAGCCAUGCCGCGUGUGUGAAUAAGGCCCUCGGGUUGUAAAGCACUUUCAGUGAGGAAGAACGCCUGGUGGUUAAUACCCAUCAGGAAAGACAUCACUCACAGAAGAAGCACCGGCUAACUCCGUGCCAGCAGCCGCGGUAAUACGGAGGGUGCGAGCGUUAAUCGGAAUUACUGGGCGUAAAGCGCGCGUAGGUGGCUUGAUAAGCCGGUUGUGAAAGCCCCGGGCUCAACCUGGGAACGGCAUCCGGAACUGUCAAGCUAGAGUGCAGGAGAGGAAGGUAGAAUUGCCGGUGUAGCGGUGAAAUGCGUAGAGAUCGGGAGGAAUACCAGUGGCGAAGGCGGCCUUCUGGACUGACACUGACACUGAGGUGCGAAAGCGUGGGUAGCAAACAGGAUUAGCUACCCUUGUAGUC
rnacentral:rRNA from 1 species